rnacentral:ribozyme from 1 species
GAAUAUUCGAUGAUGAUGAUGAUGAUAAUAAUAAUGAUGACAAGGGUGAUAGUGAUAGUGAUACUAAAGUUGCUGAUGUUGGUAACACCGACGGCGAUACUUCAGCUGCUGGAAAUAUUGAUCGU